AACGGAGCAAUCCGGUCC
rnacentral:snRNA from 1 species